ensembl:lncRNA
GUUGGUGAUCCACUUUCAGAGUUGCAUUUAGACUGACAUUAUCAGCCUUCAGCACAAUUCACCUCAGAAUCAAACGAGAGAAAUACAGCAUAUCAUACCUGUUCAUGUCCACAACGAUGACCUGGAGGAAUCAUGUGUGAUCCGUCUGGAAGUGGAGUUUGACUCUUUGCUGCUUUGGCAAUCUUCACUGUUAAACUCAAGAUUAAUGAUGAUGUGACGAGUCAUUUAUUGAUUGUUGAACAUCUGAUCAUACAUCAUAUUACGAUCUUGUGUUGUUUCUAUUGCUUAUUUUUUGUUGAUGAGUCUCUAAAUUGUAUAAUAGUGUUCCAAUCACACAGACAUUUUCAGCUCUGUAUCUGAAGUUUUAUGCAUUAAAAAAAUAAUUAAGAAUAUUAAUAGGUUAUAGGGACUGGAAAAGCAGAAACUGUGCUUAUUAUAGCCUAUACAUCAGAGAUUUUAACGCAUUCAUACGAAAUUUAUUUCAUAACAUCAGAGAUUUAAUGGCUUGAGAAAUAAACAUCUCUUCUUAAUAAAUCUAUUUCGUCAUGCAUCCAACAGAAAAUAAAUGAAAUAAAAAUAAAAUAAAACGUAUUCUUGCUUCGUGGCAAUUAAUGUCGCAAGCUGAACGAUUCGCUCGUCUGGAGUGCAUUCGAAUGUUCUGAGCGAUUCGAAAGAAAAGAGUCGAUUCAAACGAUGCGAGUGUGAAGCGUUAUUUGAAAUCGCAUCGGUUACAGAAUCACUGAAGCUUCAGAUGCUGAUCAGCAGAAAUGAGUGAAAAUCAUCGAUCACAGACGGAGAAGAACAGAAGCAACGCGAAGAGAAACACCACAGCAAUGUCGUCCAGUGCUGCAGAAGCUCUAUCCUCAUCAAUGAGCUCCUGUGAUGUUCAGUCAUCAGCUGCUAAUGAACCAGAGCAGGAGUCUGCUCCACAAACCCUCCGCCAGAACAAGAGCAUCGACGCGGCUCAUCCCGCCAUCUACCUGAACACCCGCUCUCACAAACUGCUCAGGAGAGCCAUACGCAUCUGGAAGAUGCCGAUUCCCAUACUGAGCUUCACAGGAUCUUUGAAGCCGAAGCCCAGAAGCUUCCGAGAGCAACUGAAGCGUGUGGAAAUUCUCCGUAAUCGUUCUGAAGACUCGAAUAGUCCGAAGCCGAUGACUCGCUCCGUCAGAGACCUGCAGCUGUGCAGCUCCGGGACAGACUCCUCUCCAUCACCCUCCAGCACCUCCCUAAAGUCCCACCGCAGCCUCCGCACGCGACCGGUCCACAUGCACCGCAGCCGCAGGUACAGGAGACAGUUACAGCUCUACCGCAUGCUGUCCAACAACAAGAGACGCAGACAGAGAGAUGAGAAACCGCACAGGCUGGAGGGUCCGUCAUCACCUGCGGCGUCCUCUUGUGUUAAAGGCUCCUCUGAGAUUCAGGAUGAUGGCAGAGAUUCGUCGUCUACCCAGAGUCCUCCAGUGAUCCGGGCGCCGCCGAGAAAAACGAGUCGCCGCUUGUGGCGCCGACAACUGGACAGCAGCAGUUCAGACAACAGCCCGAUGACCGCUAACCCAGUUAACAGACAGAGACCGGGAAAAACAGACAGACAGAGUCACAACAGAAGGAUUUCGUUCUCUUUUGCUGAUGUUUCAAGCGAGUCGGCCGAGUUUGAUUUCCCUGAUAUUAAUUCUAGUGCAAUCAAAGAAGCUUCUGCACCUGCACACAGAAACAUUAACGACCACGAUUCAUCUGAUCUCAAAACGGAUGUCCAAACCAAUGAGGAAUCAACUCAAAAAUCCCUUAAGAUCACUGAAACGAACACAGAUGAACAUCUGCAUGAAAAGCCUGACACAACAUCACCGGACUCUGAAGCGUCUCUAGUUUCACGGCUGAAGACCUUUAAAGAAGAACUCAAACACUGUGAAGAUGCCACUGAGAUGACACCGGACCCAAGACAGUUCAAGAGUCCUUCAUCCGUCAGAAACACACAGUCUAAUGCAGACACUCCCAGACCCAAGUCAAGUGUGAAAUGGAAAAACGUUAUGAUGCAGAGAGCGCUGUGUUCUUUUAGCUUUCCGUAUGAGGAUCAGGAUCCAACACACGAAUCCUGGUGCAGAUUUACGCUGGCGGACGAUUCAACACACGAUACAAGUGACACAGACAGAGCUGACGAGACGCCUGAAUGUUCUGAGAAACCAGCUGAAGAUAACGUCAAGAACGGAGCUGCGGGAGACGCUUUCAUAACACAGGAAAGCAGCAGCUGAGUCUUCAGGCUGUCAGAUGCUGCUGAAUCCAGUGCAUUAAAAUGAAUACGAGAAGCAUCACAAGGGCUGAAUGUUGGAUAGAAGGACCAGAUUUUAUAUGCUUUAUAUGAUAUUGUUUUAUAUUAGUCCUACUGUGAACUGACUUGUUUUAGCAUUGACCUCUGUGAGAAUUAAUUUUUAAACAUUUUUAUGUAAUUCUAAUAAAUGACCACAUGAUGGCA